rnacentral:rRNA from 1 species
GAUCCGUGACCAGCAGGGCGGCGUGUGUAAUUCUCCUGGAAAGAGGUGCAAUGAAUGGUGAAAGCCCAGUUCAACACACGUCUCGCGCUGCGUACCGUCCGGAAUCUCGGAGUCGCGUUCCCUGGGACGGGAGCGUAAAUCAGAUGGUAUAUUUCAUCUAAAGCUAAAUAUCUUCUCGAGACCGAUAGAGAACAAGUACCAUGAGGGAAAGAUGAAAAGUACUUUGAAAAGAGGGUUAGACGCGCCUGCAACCACUGUAUUACAAGCACUUGGAUCCUUCCAGUUUACUGGAUCAGCGAGUCCCCACCGGGUGUGCAGCGCUGGCCAACCAAGGUCACGCUCGUCCCCAUUCCGGGCUCGUGGAAUCCGGUAGAUAUUAUCGGCGCAACUAGCAGGCCCGGCAGUGAACCAACCGCGCUUUGGACCCCUCCUAGAGGGGAUCACGCGGCGUCAUCCAUGGGUCUAGUUCUUGUUUUCUCGAGGAGGUCUCUCCUCGACGCCGAUUCGGUAAAGGUUUCAAAUGACCCGUCUUGAAACACGGACCAAGAUCUU